GUUGAACGCUGGCGGCGUGCCUAACACAUGCAAGUCGAGCGAAGCGGGGACGGGUGAGUAACAUGUGUGUACCCUCCUAUAAGACUGGGUAACCUUCGGGAAACCGGUCUCAUACCCGAUACUUACACAUGGAUCUGAGCUGUAUUUGCUAGUUGGUAAGGUAACGGCUUACCAAGGCAAGGAUGCAUAGCCGAACUGAGAGGGUGAUCGGCCACACUGGAACUGAGACACGGUCCAGACUCCUACGGGAGGCAGCAGUAGGGAAUCUUCCGCAAUGGGCGAAAGCCUGACGGAGCAACGCCGCGUGAGUGAUGAAGGUCUUCGGAUCGUAAAACUCUGUUAUUAGGGAGGCGGUACCUAAUCAGAAAGCCACGGCUAACUACGUGCCAGCAGCCGCGGUAAUAC
rnacentral:rRNA from 1 species